rnacentral:rRNA from 1 species
CCUACGGGUGGCAGCAGUGAGGAAUAUUGGUCAAUGGGCGCGAGCCUGAACCAGCCAAGUAGCGUGAAGGAUGACUGCCCUACGGGUUGUAAACUUCUUUUAUAAAGGAAUAAAGUGAGGCACGUGUGCCUUUUUGUAUGUACUUUAUGAAUAACGAUCGGCGAACUCCGUGCCAGCAGCCGCGGUAAUACGGAGGUUCCGAGCGUUAUCCGGAUUUAUUGGGUGUAACGGGAGCGUAGAUGGGUUGUUAAGUCAGUUGUGAAAGUUUGCGGCUUAACCGGAAAAUUGCAAUUGAUACUGGCAGUCUUGAGUACAGUUGAGGGAGGCGGAAUUCGGGGUGUAGCGGUGAAAUGCUUAGAUAUCACGAAGAACUCCGAUGGCGAAGGCAGCUUACUAAACUGCCACUGACAUUGAGGCUCGAAAGUGUGGGGAUCAAACAGGAUGAGAUACCCGAGUAGUC